GACGAACGCUGGCGGCGUGCCUAAUACAUGCAAGUAGAACGCUGAAGGCGGAGAUUGCUUCUCUGGAUAAGUUGCGAACGGGUGAGUAACGCGUAGGUAACCUGCCUGGUAGCGGGGGAUAACUAUUGGAAACGAUAGCUAAUACCGCAUAAGAGUAGAUGUCGCAUGACAUUUGCUUAAAAGGUGCAAUUGCAUCACUACCAGAUGGAUCUGCGUUGUAUUUGCUAGUUGGUGAGGUAACGGCUCACCAAGGCAACGAUACAUAGCCGACCUGAGAGGGUGAUCGGCCACACUGGGACUGAGACACGGCCCAGACUCCUACGGGAGGCAGCAGUAGGGAAUCUUCGGCAAUGGACGGAAGACUGACCGAGCAACGCCGCGUGAGUGAAGAAGGUUUUCGGAGCGUAAAGCUCUGUUGUAAGAGAAGAACGAGUGUGAGAGGGGAAAGUUCACACUGUGACGGUAUCUUACCAGAAAGGGACGGCUAACUACGUG
rnacentral:rRNA from 1 species